rnacentral:SRP_RNA from 1 species
GCUGGGCGCGGUGGCUCGCGCCUGUAAUCUCAGCACUUUGGGAGGCUGAGGCAGGUGGAUCACCUGAGGUCAGGAGUUCGAGACAAGCCUGGCCAACAUGGUGAAACCCUGUCUCUA